rnacentral:rRNA from 1 species
AUUGAACGCUGGCGGCAGGCUUAACACAUGCAAGUCGAACGAGUGGCGGACGGGUGAGUAAUGCUUGGGAAUCUAGCUUAUGGAGGGGGAUAACUACGGGAAACUGUAGCUAAUACCGAGUACCAUAGGAUGAGCCCAAGGGGGAUUAGGUAGUUGGGGGGGUAAAGGCUCACCAAGCCGACGAGCGCUAGCUGGUUUGAGAGGAUGACCAGCCACACUGGGACGGAUACACGGCCCAGACUCCUGCGGGAGGCAGCAGUGGGGAAUAUGGGGCAAUGGGGGCAACCUGACGCAGCCAUUCCGCGUGAAUGAAUGAGGCCUUCGGGUUGUAAAGUUCUUUCGGUAGCGAUGCGUUACCUACAGAAGAAGCACCGGCUAACUCCGUGCCAGCAGCCGCGGUAAUAC